GUUUCCUAACUUGUAGUAGCAUCGCAUGGCAAGCAUCACUCGGCAUCUCUCUGAAUAAAUUGUGUGCAAAAGGAUGGACAGUAUGCAAUCAAAAGUACGGCCCUGGAAUAAGAAGGAUCUAGUCGUGCACAUAUUUGUCGUCUGCGAAGCAGUUCCGAUGGGAACCGGGCGAUGAACGUCUUGGGGUUGUGAAGUUGAACGGCCGGAGGUGACAGCGGUGAACGGCCUGAGUGCUGUGGUGGUGGGGCCCCACUGGCAGGAGGCUGUGUGUUGGCAGGGGCAGCCUCACUGCCGCCACAAAUGAACACAGCGACGCCAUGACGGAGCUCUGCCAGCCUUCUUCCUUGUCACCAUGUCAGACCUCCGCCGUAGCCCCGAGCUCCGCCCUCACCCCGUCUCCACCAAAGCAGUGGAUCUCUCUGACCUCCAGUCGAUGUCGCGAUGGCGGUUGGACGUGGGGUUGGCUGUGGCAUAUGGGGAAGAAGCACAAAGGAGAGGGUCUGGCGUGGCGGCUGGAACGACGGUUGGGGCCCUGGCUGCGGUGCCGGGAUCCGGCGGCAGGGGCCCUAGCAGCGGCGGCAGGGACUGGUGGUUGGGGAGGCAAAUCUGUUGGGUGGGAUGGGGGCGCACGGUUGCCGGCGAGCGCGCGGGCGAGGCGACGACUCCGGCGGCCGGCGAGCGUGUCGGCGAGGCGGCGGCUCCUGCGCUGGUUUGAUGGGGGUGUGGUGGGGAUUGGGGACAGGGCGGUUGGGGACGGGGCGGCGG
rnacentral:rRNA from 1 species